GAGUUUGAUCCUGGCUCAGGAUGAACGCUAGCGGCAGGCUUAACACAUGCAAGUCGAGGGGUAACAGGGUGCUUGCACCGCUGACGACCGGCGCACGGGUGCGUAACGCGUAUACAAUCUACCUAUUACUAAGAGAUAGCCCAGAGAAAUUUGGAUUAAUAUUUUAUGGUAUUAUCGAUUGGCAUCGAUUGAUAAUUAAAGGUUACGGUAAUAGAUGAGUAUGCGUCCUAUUAGCUAGAUGGUAAGGUAACGGCUUACCAUGGCUACGAUAGAUAGGGGUCCUGAGAGGGAGAUCCCCCACACUGGUACUGAGACACGGACCAGACUCCUACGGGAGGCAGCAGUGAGGAAUAUUGGACAAUGGGCGGGAGCCUGAUCCAGCCAUGCCGCGUGCAGGAAGACGGCCCUAUGGGUUGUAAACUGCUUUUACAGAGGAAGAAACACCCCGACGUGUCGGGACUUGACGGUACUCUGCGAAUAAGGAUCGGCUAACUCCGUGCCAGCAGCCGCGGUAAUACGGAGGAUCCAAGCGUUAUCCGGAAUCAUUGGGUUUAAAGGGUCCGUAGGCGGGAUGAUAAGUCAGUGGUGAAAGUCUGCAGCUUAACUGUAGAAUUGCCAUUGAUACUGUUGUUCUUGAGUGCUUGUGAAGUGGUUAGAAUGAGUAGUGUAGCGGUGAAAUGCAUAGAUAUUACUCAGAAUACCGAUUGCGAAGGCAGAUCACUAACAAUCCACUGACGCUGAUGGACGAAAGCGUAGGUAGCGAACAGGAUUAGAUACCCUGGUAGUCUACGCCGUAAACGAUGGUUACUAGCUGUUCGGUCGCAAGACUGAGUGGCUAAGCGAAAGUGAUAAGUAACCCACCUGGGGAGUACGUUCGCAAGAAUGAAACUCAAAGGAAUUGACGGGGGCCCGCACAAGCGGUGGAGCAUGUGGUUUAAUUCGAUGAUACGCGAGGAACCUUACCAAGGCUUAAAUG
rnacentral:rRNA from 1 species